rnacentral:rRNA from 1 species
UAGAGGAAGUAAAAGUCGUAACAAGGUCUCCGUUGGUGAACCAGCGGAGGGAUCAUUACUGAGUUUACGCUCUACAACCCUUUGUGAACAUACCUAUAACUGUUGCUUCGGCGGGCAGGGUCUCCGUGACCCUCCCGGCCUCCCGCCCCCGGGCGGGUCGGCGCCCGCCGGAGGAUAACCAAACUCUGAUUUAACGACGUUUCUUCUGAGUGGUACAAGCAAAUAAUCAAAACUUUUAACAACGGAUCUCUUGGUUCUGGCAUCGAUGAAGAACGCAGCGAAAUGCGAUAAGUAAUGUGAAUUGCAGAAUUCAGUGAAUCAUCGAAUCUUUGAACGCACAUUGCGCCCGCCAGCAUUCUGGCGGGCAUGCCUGUUCGAGCGUCAUUUCAACCCUCAAGCUCUGCUUGGUGUUGGGGCCCUACAGCUGAUGUAGGCCCUCAAAGGUAGUGGCGGACCCUCCCGGAGCCUCCUUUGCGUAGUAACUUUACGUCUCGCACUGGGAUCCGGAGGGACUCUUGCCGUAAAACCCCCAAUUUUCCAAAGGUUGACCUCGGAUCAGGUAGGAAUACCCGCUGAACUUAAGCAUAUCAAUA